UAAAGUUCGUGAAUUCUUCCUUCUUUCAUGACUCAGCCUGUCAUUAUGUAUCCUUACAAUGAAAAUCAGAUAAAUAUCGACGAUUAUGUGCUUAUUAAUAAAAAGGUUUUAAAAUUUGUUGGCCUUUAUCCAACAAAUAUCGUGAGAUACAUCGUGUGCUGUGUGUGUAUGUUUACCAUCAUUAUACCGCAAACAGUACAAAUUUAUCAAGAUUGGCAAGACUUGGCUAUCGUACUGGAAACAAGUUCAGUGUUGCUCACUAUUUUACUCGCUAUACUAAAAUCGUUGAUUUGGAUGUACAACAGAGGGAAAAUGGAUCCAUUUAUAGAUUAUAUGUUAACAGAUUAUUGGAGAAUAAUGACGACACAGAUUACGAAAUACGCAGAUGUAUAUGCAACAUAUGCCAGAAAGCUUACUAAAGGAUAUGUAUUUUUAAUUUGCAAUUCUUUACUAUUUUUCUUUAGUCUACCUCUAAUUGAAAUAUUUAUUACAACGCUCGCUGGAUUUAAUGAUAACAGUACAAAACAUUUUCCAUUCUUAGCUUUAUAUCCUAAGUCUUACUAUAACUUUCCGAUAUAUGAGAUUGUUUAUCUGUCGCAAAUGGUAGCAACGAGCUUAUGCGGUCUUAUUAUCCUGGGAACCGACACCCUAAUUGCAACAGCGUUGUUUCAUACAUGUGGUCAAUUCAAAAUACUUCAAGAAAAGAUAAAAAAUAUUACCGCUAAAGUUAUCUUCGUGCAACAUACACAUAGUGAAGAAAAUUCUGUACAAAAAGUCAAAUUACAAAUAACACAUAUUAUCAAACAUCAUUAUACAAUUCUUCGGUUUUGUGAUUACAUGGAAAUGGUUUUUAGUCCGAUGCUAUUUCUGCAAACGUUGGCUAGCAGUCUCAUAAUCUGUCUAGUAGGUCUUCAGGUUACAACUGCAAGUAUUACACAAAUUUCCUUGAAAAUUUGUCAUUAUAUUGCCAAUCUUUACAUGGAAUUUUUCUAGUAGGAAUUAGCAGAAAAAUCUAAACUGAUUAAAUAUUUCUCAUACUUGAUAAUGGCACUUUUUCAAUUAUUACUUUUUUGUAUUCCCGGUGACAUCCUAAUAAAUGAGGUAUGAAGCAAAAUAGCAAAAUCGAAUACAAAGACAAAUUCUUUAUACAUAUUUUACCUAUAUGACAGAGUUUGGCGAUCAAUAAAACUCUGUAUUCAACCAAUUGGUAUAAAUUGCCAGUUUCUUUUAAAAACGAGUUAUGUCUGCUCAUGUUGCGUAGUCAGAAACCAAGUAAAAUUACCGCAGGAAAAUUCUACAUAAUGCAUUUGGAGAAUUUCAACUCAGUGUUAAGCAAUGCUCUUUCAUACUUUAUGUUACUGCGAAGUGUCAGCUUAAAAGAAAACAACAUUGAGUCAUAAUAAAAUAAAAUCAUAAAUGUGUGAAUAAGAGAGAAAAAUCUGAUAUUAAAAAAGAGGAAUAUUAAAAUAUAUAAUAACGAUUAAAAACCCAAUGUGGGAACUUCAAUGAUCUCACGUUUGGUACGCCGUUGCGCGUAAUCGUCCACGCAAGAUCUUGCAUUAUGUG
rnacentral:misc_RNA from 1 species